AAGCUAAUAACAAAGCGUUGCGAUAACCCUCGCGGGUGAUGACGUAAUGUGAUUUUUGCCCAGAGCUCUAAAUAUCAAAGUGAAGAAAUUCAAGCAAGCGUGGGUAAACGGAGGAAGUAACUAUGUUUCUCUUGGCUCUAAAGUGGCCUGGGCUGAACGCCUUUAAAU
rnacentral:ncRNA from 1 species